rnacentral:rRNA from 1 species
UACAGAGGGGGCAGGCGUUGUUCGGAAUUACUGGGCGUAAAGGGCGCGUAGGCGGCCUGUUAAGUCGAACGUGAAAUCCCCGGGCUCAACCCGGGAACUGCGUCCGAUACUGGCAGGCUUGAAUCCGGGAGAGGGAUGCGGAAUUCCAGGUGUAGCGGUGAAAUGCGUAGAUAUCUGGAGGAACACCGGUGGCGAAGGCGGCAUCCUGGACCGGCAUUGACGCUGAGGCGCGAAAGCCAGGGGAGCAAACGGG